AUCCUUCGGGUCUGUGGUUGAAAACCGAUGCCAGUCGCAGGCAAAGCGGUCCACGUAAUCCGCCCAAAGCGGCGGGGAGCAUGGUGCGGUCUAGAUGUAAGUCCGUCCGGGACAACGAUCCCGAGAGAAGCGAGUGAGGGCGCGGACAGCGCAGAGCAGACUUCCAGGCGGCGUGUGUGGGGUCAAAGACCAGGUCAGCCGGAGGAA
rnacentral:ncRNA from 12 species